rnacentral:rRNA from 1 species
UGGGGAAUAUUGCACAAUGGGCGCAAGCCUGAUGCAGCCAUGCCGCGUGUAUGAAGAAGGCCUUCGGGUUGUAAAGUACUUUCAGCGGGGAGGAAGGGAGUAAAGUUAAUACCUUUGCUCAUUGACGUUACCCGCAGAAGAAGCACCGGCUAACUCCGUGCCAGCAGCCGCGGUAAUACGGAGGGUGCAAGCGUUAAGCGGAAUUACUGGGCGUAAAGCGCACGCAGGCGGUUUGUUAAGUCAGAUGUGAAGUCCUCGGGCUCAACCUGGGAACUGCAUCUGAUACUGGCAAGCUUGAGUCUCGUAGAGGGGGGUAGAAUUCCAGGUGUAGCGGUGAAAUGCGUAGAGAUCUGGAGGAAUACCGGUGGCGAAGGCGGCCCCCUGGACCAAGACUGACGCUCAGGUGCGAAAGCGUGGGGAGCAAACAGG